rnacentral:rRNA from 1 species
UACGAAGGGGGCUAGCGUUGCUCGGAAUCACUGAGCGUAAAGGGCGCGUAGGCGGCUUGCCAAGUCAGGGGUGAAAUCUUUCGGCUCAACCGGAAAAGUGCUUCUGAUACUGGCAGGCUGGAGGGAGGUAGGGGCAGAUGGAACUUCCGGUGGAGCGGUGAAAUGCGCAGAUAUCAGGAAGAACACCCGUGGCUAAGGCGGUUCUCUAGUACGGUACUGACGCUGAGACGCGAAAGCGUGGGGAGCGAACAGG